ensembl:misc_RNA Metazoa_SRP Metazoan signal recognition particle RNA
GGCAGGUGCGGUGGUGCAUGCCUGUAGUUCCAGCUACUUGGGAGGCUGAGGUGGGAGGAUCACUUGAGCCCAGGAGAUCUGGGCUAUAGUGUGCUAUGCUGAUUGAAUGUCCGCACUAAGUUCAGCAUCAAUAUGGUGAUCUCCUGGGAGUGGGGGACCACCAGGUUGCCUAAGGAGGGGUGAACCGGCCCAGGUCGGAAAUGGAGCAGGUCAAAACUCCCGUGCUGAUCAGUAGUGGGACUGUGCCUGUGAAUAGCCACUGCACGCCAGCCUGGGCAACAUAGCGAGAUCCUCUCUA